UACGUAGGGGACAAGCGUUGUCCGGAUUUAUUGGGCGUAAAGCGCUCGCAGGUGGUCCGUCGCGUCGUGCGUGAAAUACCCCGGCUCAACUGGGGGGGGUCGUGCGAUACGGGCGGACUGGAGGCCAGUAGGGGGAUGCGGAAUUCCGGGUGUAGUGGUGGAAUGCGUAGAGAUCCGGAGGAACACCAGCGGCGAAGGCGGCAUCCUGGACUGGUCCUGACACUCAGGAGCGAAAGCGUGGGGAGCGAUCCGG
rnacentral:rRNA from 1 species